GAAUUCGAUUCUCCUGGAAACGGGUGGUAAUGCCGGAUGCUCCACAUGAUCACAUGUGAUUGUGGGAAAGAUUUAUCGGUAUGGGAUGGGGUCGCGUCCUAUCAGGUAGUUGGUGGGGUAAUGGCCUACCAAGCCUACGACGGGUAGCCGGCCUGAGAGGGCGACCGGCCACAUUGGGACUGAGAUACGGCCCAGACUCCUACGGGAGGCAGCAGUGGGGAAUAUUGCACAAUGGGCGCAAGCCUGAUGCAGCGACGCCGCGUGCGGGAUGACGGCCUUCGGGUUGUAAACCGCUUUUGUUAGAGAGCAAGCGCAAGUGAGUGUACCUUUCGAAUAAGCACCGGCUAACUACGUGCCAGCAGCCGCGGUAAUACGUAGGGUGCAAGCGUUAUCCGGAAUUAUUGGGCGUAAAGAGCUCGUAGGCGGUUUGUCGCGUCUGGUGUGAAAGUCCAUCGCUUAACGGUGGAUCUGCGCCGGGUACGGGCAGGCUAGAGUGUGGUAGGGGAGACUGGAAUUCCCGGUGUAACGGUGGAAUGUGUAGAUAUCGGGAAGAACACCAAUCACUAGUG
rnacentral:rRNA from 1 species